rnacentral:rRNA from 1 species
AGGACGAACGCUGGCGGCGUGCUUAACACAUGCAAGUCGAGCGGUAAGGCCUUUCGGGGUACACGAGCGGCGAACGGGUGAGUAACACGUGGGUGAUCUGCCCUGCACUUCGGGAUAAGCCUGGGAAACUGGGUCUAAUACCGGAUAUGACCUCCUAUCGCAUGGUGGGUGGUGGAAAGAUUUAUCGGUGCAGGAUGGGCCCGCGGCCUAUCAGCUUGUUGGUGGGGUAAUGGCCUACCAAGGCGACGACGGGUAGCCGACCUGAGAGGGUGACCGGCCACACUGGGACUGAGACACGGCCCAGACUCCUACGGGAGGCAGCAGUGGGAAUAUUGCACAAUGGGCGAAAGCCUGAUGCAGCGACGCCGCGUGAGGAUGACGGCCUUCGGGUGUAAACCUCUUUCAGCAGGACGAAGCGCAAGUGACGGUACCUGCAGAAGAAGCACCGGCUAACUACGUGCCAGCAGCCGC